GACGAACGCUGGCGGCGUGCUUAACACAUGCAAGUCGAACGAUGAACUUGGAGCUUGCUCUGGGGGAUUAGUGGCGAACGGGUGAGUAACACGUGAGUAACCUGCCCUGGACUCUGGGAUAACUUCGAGAAAUCGGAGCUAAUACCGGAUAGGACCUCGGAUCGCAUGAUCUGGGGUGGAAAGUUUUUCGGUCUGGGAUGGACUCGCGGCCUAUCAGCUUGUUGGUGAGGUAAUGGCUCACCAAGGCGUCGACGGGUAGCCGGCCUGAGAGGGUGACCGGCCACACUGGGACUGAGACACGGCCCAGACUCCUACGGGAGGCAGCAGUGGGGAAUAUUGCACAAUGGGCGCAAGCCUGAUGCAGCAACGCCGCGUGCGGGAUGACGGCCUUCGGGUUGUAAACCGCUUUUAGUAAGGAAGAAGCCGCAAGGUGACGGUACUUGCAGAAAAAGGACCGGCUAACUACGUGCCAGCCGCCGCGGUAAUAC
rnacentral:rRNA from 1 species